AGAAAAUACCUUAUCUGGAUCUCGAGGUCUUCCAAAAUCAGUAACAAAACUAUUCAUUCGAAAAUGCUUUUCAGAAGGUUCUGCAUUUCUAAAAAAGGGAAAGAAAGAACACAAGUAUGUACAUUAAACAUCAUUUACUUGCAAAAUAAAUUACAUUCACAUCACACUGUGUUGGCCAGGUCAUUGUUAGAUUGUAAAAUCUUUGCAAGCAAGCCUGGAUGGUCUCACUCUCAGCAUUUGUAUCUCUUAUUUGUAUCUCCAGUGCCUAAUACCAUAACUGUCAUUUAUACUGCAAAGAUCUUAAAUGUACCAUUUUUACAAGUUCUCUCCUUCCCUUGGAGUCUCGUUAUUAUUUAAAUUUUUUAAAUUAAAAAAAAAAAAACUUUAACCUUCCAUUUUCGAGUCAAUACUAUUUAUUGGUUCUGUCAGGCUAAUUAUUGACAAAGUAAGAUGCUCAAAGUUCUGCCCACCACCUAUCACAGUACCAAAUAAAUCCAAUAAAUUUACAUUCUAGAAAUACUUAUUAAACACUUGUUAUGUGCAAAACCCCUUUACUUGAUGGGUACCAAGAGCAAUAAAUUAAAAAAAAACAAAACACUAUGCCCUUUCAAUUAAUGUGUAAACUAAUAAAGGAUGACUGAAUAACCAAAUCUGACAAGGAUGUAAGAAAGUGACAAAGUGCAAUGAAAUUUCCAGAGAUAUAGAGGUCACUCCUGAUGCCAAUUGGGAGUAGGAAAGAAAAUCAGAGAAAGUUUCAUGGAAGAGGGGGCAUUUGAGCUUGAAGGUAAGAGUGAAGAAGUACUUCUUCCGGAAGUGUCACUUUCUCCAUUCAUUGAAGCGUUCUUCCCUUCUCUCAGGGAUGUGCUGUAAGGUUCAAGGAGUUGCCCUUGGACAUAAGCGUUGGGUGAAUCAGCUCUAAAAAUAUAAAGAACAUCCUUUUGGAGACGUGCCAGCAGGUUCUGGCCCAAGAUCUUCAGAAGCAGUUUUCAGAUACCUAGGACUACCACUACCUCUGACUGAUCAUGUACCUGCCUUUGACUUGUGUGGGAGCAGAGGGGGAAAUUGACUCCUUAGCAAAAACAGUUAUACAAAACCAACUGGAUCUUGGCAGGCUGCAUCAGGAGAAGAAGGGACUGCUAAUGAGCCACUGAAUAGUGCAAAGAAGCACAAGGUCAAGGAGACCACCAAUCUCUGUGGAGUUGUAAUAUCCAUUUUAGCCUGCCAGAGAUGACUGCUCCCUCUGCAUUCUCUGGAUCACCUGAGGUAUAAUAAAUUCUGUUCCAGCC